rnacentral:rRNA from 1 species
CGUAGGGUGCGAGCGUUAAUCGGAAUUACUGGGCGUAAAGCGUGCGCAGGCGGUUUAGUAAGACAGGCGUGAAAUCCCCGGGCUCAACCUGGGAACUGCGCUUGUGACUGCUAAGCUAGAGUACGGCAGGAGGGGGUGGAAUUCCACGUGUAGCAGUGAAAUGCGUAGAGAUGUGGAGGAACACCAAUGGCGAAGGCAGCCCCCUGGGUCGAUACUGACGCUCAUGCACGAAAGCGUGGGUAGCAAACAGGAUUAGAUACCCUGGUAGUCCACGCCUAAACGAUGUCAACUAGGUGUUGGGAGGGUAAAACCUUUUAGUACCGGAGCUAACGCGUGAAGUUGACCGCCGUGGGGAGUACGGCCGCAAAGGUUA